UGACAGAUGCCCUCUCGACCAGGCUGAUGGAAGCUUCGAGAACUCCCAUUUUCCCCGGUCAGAGGGCAUCUUCCUGUCUACCGCGCCGGCGUAACCCGAUGCCUAUCGGUGGAUUCAG
rnacentral:sRNA from 1 species